rnacentral:rRNA from 1 species
UUCCGGUUGAUCCUGCCGGACCUGACUGCUAUCGGAUUGAUACUAAGCCAUGCGAGUCAUUGUAGCAAUACAAGGCAGACGGCUCAGUAACGCGUAGUCAACCUACCCUAUGGACGGGAAUAACCUCGGGAAACUGAGAAUAAUGCCCGAUAGAACAUUAUGCCUGGAAUGGUUUAUGUUCCAAAUGAUUUAUCGCCGUAGGAUGGGACUGCGGCCUAUCAGUUUGUUGGUGAGGUAAUGGCCCACCAAGACUAUUACAGGUACGGGCUCUGAGAGGAGUAGCCCGGAGAUGGGUACUGAGACACGGACCCAGGCCCUAUGGGGCGCAGCAGGCGAGAAAACUUUGCAAUGUGCGAAAGCACGACAAGGUUAAUCCGAGUGGUUUCUGCUAAAGGAACCUUUUGACAGUCCUAGAAACACUGUUGAAUAAGGGGUGGGCAAGUUCUGGUGUCAGCCGCCGCGGUAAAACCAGCACCUCAAGUGGUCAGGAUGAUUAUUGGGCCUAAAGCAUCCGUAGCCGGCUCUGUUAGUUUUCGGUUAAAUCUGUACGCUCAACGUACAGGCUGCCGGAAAUACUGCAGAGCUAGGGAGUGGGAGAGGUAGACGGUACUCGGUAGGAAGGGGUAAAAUCCUUUGAUCUAUUGAUGACCACCUGUGGCGAAGGCGGUCUACCAGAACACGUCCGACGGUGAGGGAUGAAAGCUGGGGGAGCAAACCGGAUUAGAUACCCGGGUAGUCCCAGCUGUAAACUAUGCAAACUCAGUGAUGCAUUGGCUUGUGGCCAAUGCAGUGCUGCAGGGAAGCCGUUAAGUUUGCCGCCUGGGAAGUACGUACGCAAGUAUGAAACUUAAAGGAAUUGGCGGGGCAGCAC